rnacentral:rRNA from 1 species
GGGGCUUGCUCCCUGAUUCAGCGGCGGACGGGUGAGUAAUGCCUAGGAAUCUGCCUGGUAGUGGGGGACAACGUCUCGAAAGGGACGCUAAUACCGCAUACGUCCUACGGGAGAAAGUGGGGGAUCUUCGGACCUCACGCUAUCAGAUGAGCCUAGGUCGGAUUAGCUAGUUGGUGAGGUAAUGGCUCACCAAGGCGACGAUCCGUAACUGGUCUGAGAGGAUGAUCAGUCACACUGGAACUGAGACACGGUCCAGACUCCUACGGGAGGCAGCAGUGGGGAAUAUUGGACAAUGGGCGAAAGCCUGAUCCAGCCAUGCCGCGUGUGUGAAGAAGGUCUUCGGAUUGUAAAGCACUUUAAGUUGGGAGGAAGGGCAUUAACCUAAUACGUUAGUGUUUUGACGUUACCGACAGAAUAAGCACCGGCUAACUCUGUGCCAGCAGCCGCGGUAAUACAGAGGGUGCAAGCGUUAAUCGGAAUUACUGGGCGUAAAGCGCGCGUAGGUGGUUUGUUAAGUUGGAUGUGAAAUCCCCGGGCUCAACCUGGGAACUGCAUCCAAAACUGGCAAGCUAGAGUAGGGCAGAGGGUGGUGGAAUUUCCUGUGUAGUGGUGAAAUGCGUAGAUAUAGGAAGGAACACCAGUGGCGAAGGCGACCACCUGGGCUCAUACUG